GCGUUAAUCGGAAUUACUGGGCGUAAAGCGCACGCAGGCGGUUUGUUAAGUCAGAUGUGAAAUCCCCGCGCUUAACGUGGGAACUGCAUUUGAAACUGGCAAGCUAGAGUCUUGUAGAGGGGGGUAGAAUUCCAGGUGUAGCGGUGAAAUGCGUAGAGAUCUGGAGGAAUACCGGUGGCGAAGGCGGCCCCCUGGACAAAGACUGACGCUCAGGUGCGAAAGCGUGGGGAGCAAACAGGAUUAGAUACCCUGGUAGUCCACGCUGUAAACGAUGUCGACUUGGAGGUUGUGCCCUUGAGGCGUGGCUUCCGGAGCUAACGCGUUAAGUCGACCGCCUGGGGAGUACGGCCGCAAGGUUAAAACUCAAAUGAAUUGACGGGGGCCCGCACAAGCGGUGGAGCAUGUGGUUUAAUUCGAUGCAACGCGAAGAACCUUACCUACUCUUGACAUCCAGAGAAUUCGCUAGAGAUAGCUUAGUGCCUUCGGGAACUCUGAGACAGGUGCUGCAUGGCUGUCGUCAGCUCGUGUUGUGAAAUGUUGGGUUAAGUCCCGCAACGAGCGCAACCCUUAUCCUUUGUUGCCAGCACGUAAUGGUGGGAACUCAAAGGAGACUGCCGGUGAUAAACCGGAGGAAGGUGGGGAUGGCGUCAAGUCAUCAUGGCCCUUACGAGUAGGGCUACACACGUGCUACAAUGGCGUAUACAAAGAGAAGCGAACUCGCGAGAGCAAGCGGACCUCAUAAAGUACGUCGUAGUCCGGAUCGGAGUCUGCAACUCGACUCCGUGAAGUCGGAAUCGCUAGUAAUCGUAGAUCAGAAUGCUACGGUGAAUACGUUCCCGGGCCUUGUACACGCCGCCCGUCACACCAUGGGAGUGGGUUGCAAAAGAAGUAGGUAGCUUAACCUUCGGGAGGGCGCUUACCACUUUGUGAUUCAUGACUGGGGUGAAGUCGUAACAAGGU
rnacentral:rRNA from 1 species